rnacentral:rRNA from 1 species
GGAUCAAUGUGUUGGUCGUGCCUUGGUACGUACUGGCAUUAUCGAUUCCUACCUUCUGAAGAAUCUCGAUGUCAUUAAUUUGGUGUCUUGGGGAAUCAGGACUGGUUUUACUUGAAAAAUUAGAGUGUUUAAAGCAGGCUCGCGCUUGAAUACAUUAGCAUGGAAUAAUGAAAUAGGACGUUUGAUUCUAUUUUGUGGUUUCUAGGAUCGACGUAAUGAUUA